rnacentral:rRNA from 1 species
GACGAACGCUGGCGGCGUGCUUCAUACAUGCAAGUCGAGCGGGGUCCAUCCCUUCGGGGAGAAGACCUAGCGGCGAACGGGUGAGUAACACGUGAGCAACCUGCCCCGGACACCGGGAUAGCCUCGGGAAACCGAAGCUAAUACCGGAUACCCAUCUCGGAUCUCAUGUUCUGAGAUGGAAAGGUCCGCCGGUUCGGGAGGGGCUCGCGGCCUAUCAGCUAGUUGGUGAGGUAACGGCCCACCAAGGCGACGACGGGUAGCCGACCUGAGAGGGUGACCGGCCACACUGGGACUGAGACACGGCCCAGACUCCUACGGGAGGCAGCAGUAGGGAAUCUUGCUCAAUGGGCGAAAGCCUGACGCAGCGACGCCGCGUGCGGGAUGAAGGCCUUCGGGUUGUAAACCGCUUUCAGUGGGGAAGAAGCGAAAGUGACGGUACCCACAGAAGAAGCCCCGGCCAACUACGUGCCAGCCGCCGCGGUAA